rnacentral:rRNA from 1 species
UACUAGAGUAGCACUCGCAUAUCAAUAAGCGGAGGAAAAGAAACUAACAAGGAUUCCCCUAGUAACGGCGAGUGAAGCGGGAAGAGCUCAAAUUUGAAAUCUUAAAGGGUUUCCCUUUACGAAUUGUAGUUUAAAGAAGUGUUUUCUGUUGAGGUUUUGGUAAAAGUUCUUUGGAAUAGGACAUCAUAGAGGGUGAGAAUCCCGUAUUUGACCUUUACUUUCAACUUUGUGAUACACUUUCAAAGAGUCGGAUUGUUUGGGAAUGCAGUCCAAAAUGGGUGGUAAAUUUCAUCUAAAGCUAAAUAUUGGCGAGAGACCGAUAGCGAACAAGUACCGUGAGGGAAAGAUGAAAAGGACUUUGAAAAGAGAGUUAAACAGUAGCGUGAAAUUGUCAAAAGGGAAGCGUUUAUGACACCAGUGUUGUUUUUCUGAAAAUCAAUUAAAGAACUGUUUAUGCUAAGCUGUUUAGACUUUAUCAGCUAUCUGUUUAGUUUUGAGCUUUUCUUUAAUGCACUUUUCAGUUAACAAGUCAACAUCAAUUUCUUUUGCUGUAAAAAAGCUUGAGGAAGGUGGCUUGAGAUUCGUCUUAAGUGUUUAUAGCCUCUUGCCUAUGCAGUCGGAGAGAUUGAGGUCUGCAGCGUAGAUCCUUCGGGGCUAAAUGCAUUUGUGCUAAGUUAUAGCAUUUUAUAGACAACUUGUUGACUAUGAUUUGUCUUGUAGCUUACUCGCUUAUGUUAUUUUACCUACGCUUAGGAUGUUGAGCGCAUGUCUCUCUCU